CUCCAGGCAGUGCCGUUGCUUCUCUGAGAUCUGGCUCCGCAGGGCCUGCUUCUCUUUCCGCAGGUUCUCCAGGGACAGUGUGGACCAGUCAAGCCUCAGCUCCUCGCACCGGGCCCUGAGCUGUGGGUACAUGAACAGAAAGUCUCAGUAGCCAAAGGGAGCAAGGGCCAGGGUCUCUGGGCAGUGCAAUGGAUCCUUCCUACAGUUGUAGUACAUAGCAUCGACACCCACUCACAAACAAGCAAUGUAAUAAAGACCAGUGUGACACAGUACAGGACCAUGACAAGAGGGAAAGAGUCCCUGGACUGAUCUUUGCAGAGUCCAACAAGUCCAGUGCCAGAACACACCUCUGGCCCAGUGAGUGGACAAUCAAGUCCUCCUUCAACCUCACACGGGUGCAUCCAGCAGUGGCAGGCCCCCAUGCACAUACCAGCCGCAGGCUCUGGCUCCGAAGCUCGCUAUUGUCCUUCUCUAGCUGUUCCGACUGCUCCCGCAGCUGCUGGUUGUGGGCAGAGAUUUCCUUCUGGGCCUGAAUCAGGUCAUUGUAGGUCAGCGCCUUCACGCCCAACUGGAGAUGAGAGGACAAAGCAUGGAGCUGGGGAAGCGUUGCUGAGGACCUCUCAAGGAAGAUUGAUAUGCCUGCACGUCACCCUGGAGAGGGCGGUGGUACAAGGCCUGUGGAUGCGUUACCUUCCUUCAUGUUUGCGAAUCGCUCCUUCAGCUGGUGAUCCACCUCAGGACCAAAGGCAAAGUUAUUCACAAAUAUAACACUGCAAAACAAUGUUCCAAUUCAGUAAAACUGAGGCUGUGCAUGGGAAG